CGUGUACCUGCUGGCACCUUUGUGCUUCACCCCUGCACAACGCACCUGAAGGGAACCUGAUCGAAAGUCUCCUUUGGUACCUGAACAAUGGCAUUUUCCAAUGUCCCAUCAGCAGCAUUGUCUACAUCUAUCAGGCAGCAAACAGCUUCCCAAGCUUUGCCCUUUCUCUUUGCUGUGAAAUUGGAGGAAACUGUUGAUCCCCCACUGAGAAAAAUGAAGGCACUCAUAGCCUGGAACUGAGCAUGGGUAUUUGUAACAACACCGUCAACAGCCUCAUUAAAGUGCUAUUUCUGAACAAGUGCUUGGCAUGAAAAAA
rnacentral:lncRNA from 1 species